rnacentral:rRNA from 1 species
UACGAAGGGGGCUAGCGUUGCUCGGAAUCACUGGGCGUAAAGCGCACGUAGGCGGAUUGCUAAAUCAGGGGUGAAAUCCUGGAGCUCAACUCCAGAACUGCCUUUGAUACUGGCGACCUUGAGUCCGGGAGAGGUGAGUGGAACUGCGAGUGUAGAGGUGAAAUUCGUAGAUAUUCGCAAGAACACCAGUGGCGAAGGCGGCUCACUGGCCCGGUACUGACGCUGAGGUGCGAAAGCGUGGGGAGCAAACAGG